rnacentral:rRNA from 1 species
GGGAUGAAGGGAGCUUGCUCCUGGAUUCAGCGGCGGACGGGUGAGUAAUGCCUAGGAAUCUGCCUGGUAGUGGGGGAUAACGUCCGGAAACGGGCGCUAAUACCGCAUACGUCCUGAGGGAGAAAGUGGGGGAUCUUCGGACCUCACGCUAUCAGAUGAGCCUAGGUCGGAUUAGCUAGUUGGUGGGGUAAAGGCCUACCAAGGCGACGAUCCGUAACUGGUCUGAGAGGAUGAUCAGUCACACUGGAACUGAGACACGGUCCAGACUCCUACGGGAGGCAGCAGUGGGGAAUAUUGGACAAUGGGCGAAAGCCUGAUCCAGCCAUGCCGCGUGUGUGAAGAAGGUCUUCGGAUUGUAAAGCACUUUAAGUUGGGAGGAAGGGCAGUAAGUUAAUACCUUGCUGUUUUGACGUUACCAACAGAAUAAGCACCGGCUAACUUCGUGCCAGCAGCCGCGGUAAUACGAAGGGUGCAAGCGUUAAUCGGAAUUACUGGGCGUAAAGCGCGCGUAGGUGGUUCAGCAAGUUGGAUGUGAAAUCCCCGGGCUCAACCUGGGAACUGCAUCCAAAACUACUGAGCUAGAGUACGGUAGAGGGUGGUGGAAUUUCCUGUGUAGCGGUGAAAUGCGUAGAUAUAGGAAGGAACACCAGUGGCGAAGGCGACCACCUGGACUGAUACUGACACUGAGGUGCGAAAGCGUGGGGAGCAAACAGGAUUAGAUACCCUGGUAGUCCACGCCGUAAACGAUGUCGACUAGCCGUUGGGAUCCUUGAGAUCUUAGUGGCGCAGCUAACGCGAUAAGUCGACCGCCUGGGGAGUACGGCCGCAAGGUUAAAACUCAAAUGAAUUGACGGGGGCCCGCACAAACGGUGGAGCAUGUGGUUUAAUUCAAACCACGCGAAGAACCUUACCUGGCCUUGACAUGCUGAAAACUUUCCAAAGAUGGAUUGGUGCCUUCGGGAACUCAGACACAGGUGCUGC